rnacentral:rRNA from 1 species
UACGUAGGGGGCAAGCGUUGUCCGGAUUUAUUGGGCGUAAAGAGCGUGUAGGCGGCCAGGUAGGUCAGCUGUGAAAACUCGAGGCUUAACCUCGAGACGCCGGCUGAAACCCUCUGGCUAGAGUCCGGAAGAGGAGAGCGGGAUUCCUGGUGUAGCGGUGAAAUGCGCAGAUAUCAGGAGGAACACCAAUUGCGAAGGCAGCUCGCUGGGACGUUACUGACGCUGAGACGCGAAAGCGUGGGGAGCAAACAGG